GCCCUGCUUCUCUGAUUCACAUUUUAUGACAAGGCUAUGUUUAGUACUCGGUACAUAAAAUAAACGCUAUUUGUAAGACUACCAUGUGAUGUUCAUUGCGGCCUAGCUAGAGAAAUCCAUGUUUCUCCGCGUACCCAUAUGUUCCUGUUUGUAGUCGAUAAAGUAAUUUGGGGGGAACUCGAGGUGUCGAUGUAGUUAUUUAAUAACUUUGAGGUAUGGAAUUUGAAACUUCAGUGUGUUCAUUUUACUGAAAUGGAAUUUGAUUGUUUAGGCACGGUGACGUUCAUAGUAGCCUAAUACUAAUAACACGUUGGUCGGAUGGCCAGCUGUUGCUGUUAGAUACGUGGCCAAUAACAUAGGUGUGAGUUUUUACUAAUUUAACUUGAUUUUGCGUUUUAUACCGAUUUUUUGUAGUUGCAUUGCGUUCGUAUGCGAUAACCGUUUGCGGACAUUGGCUGCACAAUGUUAGACUAGUCCGGGUUGCUGCAUGAUGAAGCACUUAGUUUUUUUUAGUUUUUUUUUAAAUUUCUUUUUGUGACAUCUGUUGCAGAAGCUCGCGACAAAGCGAUUUGUUCAUUUUUGUUUUUCUUCCAGUAGAUUUAAAUGUUCUCGGACAUUUAUUCCAUUAAAGAAUCGGAGAAUGGAAUAUUGUACGUAGUUGAGGGAAAGAAUCAACUUGUACAGUUGGAUAUUGGAUAUAUACUGAAGCCGUGCAGAUGGUCACCAGGAAGGAGGAUGACAUUGAUGAUUCUGUCAUCGGCGGGACAUGUCUGCGGAGGUCAUGCAGGAGCGCUCCAUAUCAACCUCGGUCCAAAGGGUGGACAUCCUCCUCAAUCACAAACUGGUGCAGAUGAGCUACUCAAAGGGGGGCUACAAGAACUACAUCAGAGUACAUGCAGGCGAAGGAGAAGCUGGAGAAAGAGAACCCCGACAGAGUAGAGGCCUGCAUGGAAGGAGCCAAAACUGAGAUGAGAGCUUUUGCCGAAGCUGAAGAACCGUCAGUUUUUCUCGGGAGUCGAUGAAUGCUGAGGGCAUGGUGGCCCUGCUGGAGCUCGCUGAGGGCAUGGUGGCCCUGCUGGAGCUCGAUAAGGAAACGCACGUGCCGUACAUGAUGUUCCUCAAGGACGGGCUGCAGAUGGAGAAAUGCUGAUGCUUCGGGAUGUGGUGAUUCAGUCUUGGCUGGCUGCUGCUCACUGGUGCUGACCCUGGAAACCACGGACUGGACAUCUGAGAUUCGCGCACUGUUUAGAAUGGAUGCGUUAUUUUAACUGCCUAUGGGCUGCAUUUUUUAACCCCCCGCCCCCCCUCCAGAAAGGACACCACUCCCCCCUCUGCCGAUAGAACACUACAGUUCAGUUUACCUCAGAUCUACCUCCUGCUCCCCCCUAGAGCCUUGUUCAGGAUUCCAUCACCUGGAGUUCUAGAAUAACUCCGUAAUUUCAGCAUGUGGCUGUGAGCUCUUCUGCUGAGCAUCAUGCAACCCCGCUCUUAUGGGGGGGGGGGAUCCUCAACCCCGCUCUUAUGGGGGCCACAGUCUACUGGGUUUUGCAGAGUUUAUGGGUUUUUCAUUGUUACUGAAUGCAAUUUAUCAAUUAAAGCAGUUUAUUACA